UUGACCUCGGAUCAGGUAGGAAUACCCGCUGAACUUAAGCAGAUC
rnacentral:rRNA from 1 species